rfam:Dickeya dadantii 3937, complete genome.
AAAAUACAAAACGAAAAAUAAGCGUAGUUAUGCUACUAGGAACCACCUCCUUGGCCAGCUCAAUCUCCCUUGAGCUGGCUUUUUC